rnacentral:rRNA from 1 species
MAACGACUCUCGGCAACGGAUAUCUCGGCUCUCGCAUCGAUGAAGAACGUAGCGAAAUGCGAUACUUGGUGUGAAUUGCAGAAUCCCGUGAACCAUCGAGUCUUUGAACGCAAGUUGCGCCCGAAGCCAUCCGGCCGAGGGCACGUCUGCCUGGGCGUCACGC